ACUGUAUUGUAGCUUUGGGUCAGUGGUUGGGCUAUGAAUUUAUGAAUAUCAAACUGUUGUGUCUGGUCAACAUUGCAGACUCCUCGAAUUGUCUCCUUACCGUCUGAGUCUUACAACCUACCAAGACAACACCGAACCAAACCUUCCGCAUACAGAAGAAAAACAUUCCUUGCAAUAAAAUUAAAAUUGAUACAAAAACUACAACAUCCAUAGGGAAGCAUCAAAACACUUCAAAAAGAUAACCACAAUGACACUUGCGUACACCACAGCUCAUAACACAAAUCGAAAAAGAGAUCAACUUCAAGACAUCAUCUCAUGUUAUCAAUUUGUGAGCAUCCUUUAGAAAUUAAAUAAACACCAUAAAAGAAGCAUCCAACAAAUUGGCAGCAAUGCAGUAACUGCAAACCUAUUGCCUCCGUGACUCUUUAAUUACAACCCCAAAUAUCAUAUGCCAAAACAAGGAGCAACAUCAAAAUCUUCAUAAUUAAACACUCUUGAAAGUUGCCUACACACCCUCUUUACUCAUCCUUAGGUUAAAACAUGUUCUUAUCACCCCUAAACACCACCAGUCAAAAUCAUAUCUUACUCGAGUUGAAAACACCUCCUAGUUGAAGAGAAGACAAUCGAAAUCAUCCUUAACCCACCAACCCUUAUCCAACAUCGAUCAAGAGGACACUAAACAUGAUUCCAUAAUAAGCUUGUUAAAAUCCCUCAAGAAAGGAAAGCCGGAUCAGCAGCAUUCAACAGUGUUCCUCAUCAGUUAUGGCCGUCGAUGAUGAACCUCAGCCCCCUCAGCCUUACGAGUUCACAUCCUGAUUUCGCUUGGAUUUCGUUUCGAUGAUAGUUUUUAGAGACGAUUUGUGUUCAGUCACAUUCUUUAGUUCUGGAGUUCUCUACUAAAUCAGUUACAUUCUUUCUAAUGUUCUUUCUAGGAAAAUCUUGUCAUAUACAUGCUCAACCAUUAGGGAAUUUGACUUUGUUGCCUAAUUUCUUUUUGUUGAUGUUCUCAAUUCUUUUCAUAUUUUUUUAAAAUCAUAUAUAUAUAGGUUACAACAAUGUGGCAUAGCUUUUAAAUCAUUAUUUGUCACGAUAAUAAUAUUUCGCAUGUUGAUUAUAUUUAAAAAAUUAAUUCAAGAUAAAUUCCUUAUAAAUAUUGUCAUGUAAUUGUUGAUGCUCUAAAUGUUGAUAUGCAUGAAUAUAUUAAAUAUGCACUAAAAAUGUAAAAUUAAAAUUAAUUAUAAGAAAUAUAAACUAUAAAGCAAAUUGAAGCAAAUAUAUAGUAAAAUUUUCAACUUAAAAUAUAUAUUUAAAACUUAAAGUAUAUUAUUAAAGACGCAUUUUAAUAAAGAUUGAUUAAAGUAAAUAUAUUUCAAAUUUUUAAUUAAUUUAAACAAAAUCAAUUAUAAAAAAAUUAUUAUUUUCUUUUUCAAACCCUAACAAAUUUAUGGGAAAAUUGAAUGUUCCAUAUUCGUAUCCUUAGAAAGGAAAUGCUGGGGUAUUAUGGGAAAAGAAAUAUUGACAAAUAGUCUCACAAGUCAAGGACGAAAAUGAUUCUUCUCUUUAAGGACAAAAGCAAGACCUAAGAAAGUAUACCAUAAAGCGUGGAGUAAAGUGAAGCAAACUCGAGGGUUUUCUUGUAAUGGAUGUGAGUGAGUGUGAGAGUAGGACAGAGGGGGAAACCGUGGAACUUCAACAUUUCAGUCAUCCACAUCCUUUGGUCUCCUUCAAAUAUCAGACUGUUGCACGCGAAGAAGUAGACCCAGAAGCAGCUCUUUGCCUUGGGUGUGAGAAACCUGUAGAGGGCUGGAGCUAUGGCUGCAAUCAAUGUGAGUUUUAUCUUCACAAGGGAUGUGCUGAGUUAGACUUAGCCCCCAAGAUUCAGCAUCCCUUCCACCCCGAACACCCUCUCACUCUUCUGCCAAAAUCACCUUAUUCUGGGGGCUUAACCGCGUGCAGUUUUUGUGGUAAGAAUUUUGAGGGAUUUGUUUAUAAUUGUUUUGAUUGUGAGUUCGAUCUGCACAUCAAUUGUGCUUUGCUUCAAUCAUCCAUUGCUACAAAUUUUCCUCAUUCUUUGCACCACCAUCCUUUAGACUUCAUUCAAAACCAUAACGAGGAAGUUGAGCGCGAUUGCUCCGGAUGUCAGAAACCAUUAUCUGGUCCAAUUUACCAUUGUUUAGAUUGUUCUUAUCCUACAUUCUUUACUCUUCAUAAGGAAUGCGUUGAACUACCCCUAGAAAUUAAUCACCCCUGUGACCGUAAGCAUCCCCUUACUCUUUUGCCUCAACGACCUGCACAUCCCGAGAAAUGUAGUUGCUAUUUGUGCAAAAUCCAAUGGAGCGGGUUUGUUUAUUCCUGCUCGCUUUGCAACUUUGAGCUUUCAGUUGAUUAUAUUUUUUCACCACCAACAAUCACCAAUGCAAGCCAUGAACACCCGUGGAUGCUUAUAUCCAAAAAAAUGUCAUUUAUUUGUGAUUUUUGUGGCAUUGUCGGAGAUCACUCUCCCUAUCUUUGUGCUACAUGCAACCUUGCUGUACACAAGAAUUGCAUUUCAUUGCCACGCAACAUCAGGAUAACACGACAUUGUCACGUGAUUUGUUUUUCAUAUUCUUUUCAACAAAAUCAAGUUGAAGAUUGUAUGUGCAGAAUUUGUUUCACGGAAGUUGAUACAAGUUAUGGUAGGUAUUGUUGUUCUGCUUCUGGUUGUGAUUAUAUUGCUCAUGCACAUUGUGCAACCAAUAAAUCAAUUUGGGAUGGAACAAUUAUCAAGGAAGGCUAUGAUGAGAGGCUUGGACCUUCGAAUUUGAUCACUGAUGUUAUUGAACAAAUAAGUAUUGAAGAGAUUAUGGUAGCAAGUAAGAUCAAACAUUCCUACCAUCAUCAUAAUUUAAGACUCACUUUUAGUGGUGAGAUCAAAGAUGAUAGCCAGUGUGAUGGGUGCAUGAGGCCUAUAUCAACUCCUUUUUAUAGUUGUGAGCAAUGCAAGUUCUUUCUCCACAAAGAUUGCGUUGAAUUGCCUAAAGAAAUGCCACACCCAUUUCACAAGCAUUUGCUUACUCUCUCAAACUCCCACGAUGAGAAUGGUUGUUCAUGGUGCACUACUUGCCGUCGUCUGUAUCAAGGAUUUAGGUACAGAUGCUACAAAGGAGAUUGCUACUUCGAAAUUGACAUUCAAUGUAUGUUAUUGUCGGACACCUUGAAGCACCCAAGUCAUGAGCAUUCACUCGUUCUUGUCCACAACGAGGGAACGAGCUGCAGUGCUUGUUUCAAAAAUUUACUAUCAAUGGAUGUUGCAUAUAGAUGCAUGAAGCGCUGUGAUUUUAGUUUAGAUGUAGGUUGUGCAUCACUACCACUCACUGCUUGGUACAAGUAUGACAGGCAUGCUCUUACAUUGACUUUUUCUGAUGAUUCUGAGCCUUCUCAACUUUACUGCGAUCUCUGCGAGAAAGAAAGCCAAAUUGUUGGUUUUACUACUGUGCUGAUUGUGAUAACUCUCUUCAUCUCAAUUGUGCUCUUGGGGAUCUCCCAUAUAUGAAGCUUGGGAACAAAAUCAAAGGUACAGGUCAUCGACAUCCACUCACUGUUGUGAAAAACAUCUGGAAUUGCCCUCCAUGUAAGGUAUGUGGUGAGGUUUGCAAUGGACAGGCCCUAGAAUGUAAAGAAUUUGAAUGCAACUUUACCGUCCAUUCGGUUUGCUGUUGGUUUCUCUAUGAAUCAUCUGAAUGAUAUUCCACUCAGUUUAAGAAACAGAGAAAGCACAAUACGAGAGGUGUGUUGUGUUGUGUGGAAGGGUGUAGCAGAUUUGGUAAAAAUGGGUGAUGGCCUUAGUUGUUGUAUUUUGCAUUAUGUUAUGUUUAUGAUAGUUGUUUGCGCAGUAGAAGGUUGUGAUAGAUGAAACAUGUAUCUGUAUCUUUCACUUUUUUAUUUGAUUCUUAUCCUUUCAACUUUUAUCUAAAAUUAUUGAUGAGAAGAAAAUAUUUUUAUUAUCUUUCUAUUCCUCCAUUCUUAAAAAUUGUGAGUGAAUGUUAAGACCAUGAAAUGUAUAAAUGGUUUCUUAAUUUUAUUUAUUUAUAAAUCUUAAAUUUAAAAUUUGAAGAUCGAAUUUGGUAUAUCUUAUUAUUUUUAAAAAGUGAAAAUAUAUGAAAUUUGUGAAAUAAAUUGAUCAAGAUUUUGUGAUCUUAAAUCAACCAGUCAUAAAAAAAAAUGUACGUCUGUUUUAGUUUUAGAAUUUAGAUUAAUUUUAUAUUACUUAAUCAGUAAACAUUUGUACUCCAUAUUCAAAAUAAUAUUAUUAUGCCUAAAUUCUAGAAAAUAAUUUUUUCUUUAUUUUAGAUUUUAUCCUAAAUUUUUUGAAUCUUCCACCAGAUUUUAUUGUAAUUUCAUUUUAAAGAUAAAUCAACAUUUUUCACAACUUAAAAAGGAAUAAAGUCAAUUUAAGCAAAAAAAUCCUUUUUUUUCCCUUUGCCCUCAAAAUAUCAAGAAAAACCCCCUUUCUUUUAUUUUGGAAAGAAAGAGAAACCUGUAGAGGGCUGGAGCUAUGCCUGCAAUCAAUGUCGGUUUUUUCUUCACAAGGGAUGUGCUGAGUUAGAGUUAUCCCCCAAGAUUCAGCAUCCCUUCCACCCUCUCACUCUUCUGCCAAAAUCACCUUAUUCUGGGGGCAUAACCGCGUGCAGUUUGUUUGGUAAGAAUUUUGAGGGAUUUGUUUAUAAUUGUUUUGAUUGUGAGUUCGAUCUGCACAUCACUUGUGCUUUGCUUCAAUCAUCCAUUGCUGCAAAUUUUCCUAAUUCUUUGCACCCCCAUCCUUUACACUUCAUUCAAAAUCAUAACAAGGAAGUCGAGCCUGAUUGCCCGGGGUGUCGGAAACCAAUAUCUGGUCCAUUUUACCACUGUUCAGAUUGCACUUGUCCUAAAUUGUUUUAACCUUCAUAAGGAAUGUGCUGAACUACCCCUUGAGAUUAAUCACCCCUGUGACCGUAAGCAUCCUCUUACUCUCUUGUCACAACCGCCUACUCAUCCCAAGAAAUGUAGUUGCUAUUUGUGCAGAAUCUAUGCAACUUUGAUCUUUCACUUGAUAGUUUUCUUUUUUCACCACCAAAAAUCACAGUUGCAAGUCAUGAACACGCGUGGAUGCUUGUAUCUAGAAAAAUGUGGUUUGUUUGUGAUUUUUGUGGCACUGACGGAGAUCACUCCCCCUAUUUGUACCCUAAACUUAAACUUUGCCCUCGCACUACCCAGUUCAAUCUAGGCUUAAUAUAAAAAUUGCCCCCUAAAUUAUAUUCAUUUUCUCAGAUAGGUAUCUAAACCAUUUUUUUGUCAAAUUGAGUACUUAAAGUAAUUUUUUCCCGCAUUGGUACGCUGUUGCCUGUUAGUUCUCCCUUAGUCAACCAUUAGUCAACAUUGUUCGAUGUUCAAUGAUGAUGUGGCCCAAUAAGUAAUAAGCACGUGGAAAAAAAGCCACAUAAGUAAACCAUCUCAUUCUUUGUAUAAAAAAAGCCACAUAAGUAAAUCAUCUCAUAAUUAAAAAUAAUAUUAAGAAAUAUUUUCACACCCUGUUACUCUCCCACAGUCCCCUACCAUCCUCACCCAACCCUUUCCCUCUGCUAACCCUUCAAUUAUAUUUUCAUAAAAAAAAAAAUCCUCCUUUUUUUCUUCAACAUUGAUUCUUUGUCUCACAAUUCCAUUUAAAUCCAUCCACCACAUGUUUGGGAAAAUGACCCUCAAAAAAAUAGAUUUUAAGCCUGAAAUUGGUGUUUUCCUUUUCAUGUAUUGGAUUUGCUUUCUUAUAGUAGGAUUAUAAGUUUGUGGGUGAAGGUUUUGUAUUUGUUAGUUUGGUUUAGUGGACUCUUAAUUUUAUUUAUGGCCUUCUUCCAAUUCGGAAUUUUGUUUGUACUCUGAAUCUCUAAAGUGCAAAUAACCAAAUUAAGCAUCUUUAAUGUACCAAUUGGUUUGUGUCUUUUACAGAAAAAUAAAUUUUCUAAUUUUUUUUUAUUUUGCCACAUGCCUAUUAGUGAUUGAGCCACAUCAUCAUUGACUAAGUUGAUUAAUGGUUGACUAACGAAGGACUAACGAGGUACAAACGUAAGAAAAAAUAUGGUUUAGAUACUCAAAUUGAUCAAAAAAGUGUUUAGGUAAUUAUUUAAGCAAAUGAGUAUAUUUUAAAGGACAAUUUUAAUAUUAAGCCUUCAACCUAUAAAUAGAUUUAUUUAUAAUUGAUUUAAUUUAAUAUGAUCUAAUUCAAAUUAAUUGUAAAACACAUUUAAUGACUUAAUUUUUAGUCACAAAUGAUAAACUUCUACAACAUAGUUUUUUAGUUCAAAUUGGUACUUUCAAAUAACUAAGUAUUAAUUUAGAUAAUAAAAAAUCAAAUUCGGGUAUUAAUUUAAAUCAAGAAGCUAAGUUUAGGUACUUAAUUUGACCAAAAUACCAAAUGGAACUUUGAAUUCAUGUUCAAGUACCUAAUUGGAAAAACAAAACCUUAGGUAUCAAUUUGAACUCUGAAGCUAAGUUCAAGUAUCAAAAUAUAUAUUUCCCUUACUUUUCCAAUCAAUAAUAAUUCUAGUGAUUAUGUUGAAAGUAAACCUUAAUUUUUGGUCACCGACAACCACAAUCCUUUUUGCAUUAUUUCUCAAUUUUUAGUUCAUAAACGAUCAAGAAUACCUUUUUUUUAUAGUGAUUAUGUUGUGAUUUCCUAUAAAAUUCUCUUUUUAUUUGCAAGGAAUCUACAACUCUAGUGUGAAUCAGGGACAUUGUCUUUGAUCGCAGGGUGUUCGCCGAAAUGCUUGACACAAGCAUGCCGGCGUGGGAAGCUAUCAGCUCUGAUGAACUUAAAUCCCACCGCCUCUUCCAUAGGCGCCAACAUAUGAAUAACUAUUCCUAAAACGAGGUCAGCCAUGCCAAUUCCAUUAAAAAGAGGCCUAAGCUAAGCUACCAAGCAAAGAGGAAGAAGAAAAGAUGGUUUCAGGGUGAGGCAUGGGCUCCAAAAGGGUAGCGGUGGAUGCAAGGCAUCACAUGCUGGGAAGGUUGGCUUCCAGAUUGGCAUGGUCUCAUCCAGUUUCCUGCUCCUCUAACACCCUCUGGCGUACCAUUCGUGGGUGCGUUUUUCUUUUCGAGAGUUUUUUUUCCCUUUUAGUGUGUUUUCGUAGUUCUUUAUUUGGUCUGUGAAGGAAAAGGAUGGAAAUUUCUGGGCUUUUGAUGCUUGGUAAUUUAGGAAGCCUUUAUUAUAAACUUUUUGAGAGAUUUUUUCUAUUUAUUUGAAGUUCUAUGAUUUGGAUAUUGGAAUAUAUAUUGCAAAAGAACCAAAGGAAUCUGUGUGUUUAGUUAUGUUUGAUAUCAAAAUUAAUAAUGAGAGUUUGCUAUUGAUUUUUCUUAUUAGAGAUCCGUGUGUUUGUUAUAGUUGGUUAUUGGUAAAAUGUAGGGACGAAGUGAAAGAGAGUAGAAUGAGUGUGCUUGAGGUUAUUAUUGUUGGAUUGAGAGAAAACUAAUAGCUGACAAGGUCUAUGAAUCUUAUGGUGCAAAGGCAAUGCGUUUGGCUUCAGCAUAUAUGUAGUGAAGUAUAUAACUGGGCUUCAUUUUGACUUUUCUUAUGGUAAUUGAUAGUUGUUUUGAUUGCAGGAUGAUUCCUCGCAAAGACUAAGGACGGAGUGGCAGCUUUCGCUGGUUUGAAAUUGAAGGCUAAUGAGGGGAUUCCUGCACCAUAUGAUAAGACUAAGAGAAUGGUUAUUCCUGAUGCUCUCAAGUUUUGCAGUAGUUGGUUUCUUUCGCGGAAUUUAGAAUUUGGUUUUCUUACUUGCUUCUGUGGAUAGUUAGUCAUGCUCAAUGUUUUUAUUGUUCUUUCGGUUUUUUUAAAUUAGGGUUUUGAGGUUUCAGAAAGGAGACAAAUUGGUGGAGAAAAUAGCAUUACCCUGGAGUAAAUAUGAAAUAUAACAUUGAACGCUUUUAUGUAGGUUAUCCAACACGCUGAAUGCUUAGGACUUGGUUUGGAGCUUUAGGAACUACUGAUUAAGAAGUUUAUGAAGACAUCAAAAGAGUCAUUUCAUUGGUUUGGCAGUUCUAGGACUUGGUUGUCCUUUACUCAGAGCCAGAGCAGGUAGGUUCUGUUUUUACUCGGCUGUUUGUGAUUGAUGUUUGUUGCACCUUUUCCCCUCUCUUUUUGUAACUGUAUUGUAGCUUUGGGUCAGUGGUUGGGCUAUGAAUUUAUGAAUAUCAAACUGUUGUGUCUGGUCAACAUUGCAGACUCCUCGAAUUGUCUCCUUACCAUCUGAGUCUUACAACCUACCAAGACAACACCGAACCAAACCUUCCGCAUACAGAAGAAAAACAUUCCUUGCAAUAAAAUUAAAACUGAUACAAAAACCACAACAUCCCAAAACACCUCAAAAAGAUAACCACGACGACACUUGCAUACACCACAGCUCAUGACACAAAUCGAAAAAGAGCUCAACUUCAAGACAUCAUCUCAUGUUAUCAAUUUGUGAGCAUCCCUUAGAAACUAAAUAAACACCAUAAAAGACGCAUCCAACAAAUUGGCAGCAAUGCAGUAACAGCAAACCUAUUGCCUCUGUGAGUCUUUAAUUACAACCCCAAAUAUCAUAUACCAAAGCAAGGAGCAACAUCAAAACCUUCAUAAUUAAACACUCUUGAAAAGUUGCCUACACACCCUUUUUACUCAUCCUUAGGUUAAAACAUGUUCUUAUCACCCCUAAACACCACCAGUCCAAAUCAUAUCUUACUCGAGUUGAAAAACCUCCUGGUUGAAGAGAAGACAAUCGAAAUCAUCCUUAACCCACAAACCCUUAUCCAACAUCGAUCAAGAGGACACUGAACAUGAUUCCAUAAUAAGCUUGUUAAAAUCCCUCAAGAAAGGAAAGCUGGAUCAGCAGCAUUCAACAGUGGUCCUCAUCAGUUAUGGCGGUCAAUGAUGAACCUCAGCCCCCUGAGCCUUUCGAGUUCACAUCCUGAUUUCGCUUGGAUUUCAUUUCGAUGAUAGUUUUUAGAGAUGACUUGUGUUCCGUCACAUUCUUUUGUUCAGGAGUUCUCUACUAAUCAGUUACAUUCUUUCUUAUGUGCUUUCUAUUUGUACGGAAAAUCUUGUCAUAUACAUGCUCAACCAUUAGGGAAUUCAAUUUUGUUGCUGAUACGAACUCGGUUGCAUCAUGUUACGACACAACUGGACGGCAUCGGCAUUGGCCCAAACACGAGGGUCCCAAGUGCAAAAUGAAGUGUUAAUUCGAGUUUGUUAAUUUGGUUGCUGGAAAAAAUGAGGAUGACUAUUACUUCUAGAUUUCUUAGCUAUAGUUUAAUUGCUGGAAUAAAAGUUAAUUCGGUUUUAGUUAAUUAGUUAAUUAAUUAGUUAAGUUCCAUAAAUAUGUCAUGGUUUAAACAUCAAUAAUUAGAAUUUAAAUUUGUCAAAAAAUAUGGACAUUUUAAAUGUGUUUUAAGUUCAUUAAUUCUGUCCAAAAUUCAUACUGCUUUAAUAUGAGAUUUAACUUGGUCUUAGUUUAGAACAAAUUAAAUAGGUCUUAAUUUAGACAACUUAAUUGUGACUCACUUCCAGACCAAUUAAUUGUGUCUAACAUUCAGCUUUUAUGUUGCAUUAAACCGAUCUUUAAAUAUGUUUUGUAGGUUGGCUGAAUAGGCUGCCCAUCAACCAAUACAUUGGACGGCAUUAAAGGGACAGCAUGCACCUGGACGUACAUGCACCUAGCACCUGCUGUUUGCUCUCCUCCAAGCAUCUCCUCGUGGAAGCAAUAGCCAAGAGUGUCCCAAUUUGUUUCAUCAGCUGAUUAAUUCGGUUCACACAUAAUUGUCCAGCCAAUUCGAGCCAUUCACACCUAGUUGACCAUUCAUUGCCGGCUUUUCACCUUUGAUGGCUGUCCAUGCGCCACCAACAGUCACAAUUUAAUUAAAGCUUGUUUGGCUGCCCAAGGGAGGUUAAUGCAUGUUCAUUCAACUUAGCUGAUAAGGAACUUGUUAGAUUCAGCUAAUUUUCUAAAUACAUUUAGCUGACCAUUCGAGAACAGCAAAGGUUAAGGAUGUCGGCGUGUCCAAUGAUUGGAUGCAUUCAUUUGCUGACUCAAUUACUCCAGCUCAAGAACCGAAUUUAUCCAGAUGAAUUACUCAGCUAUUUCGUCAGUCCAUGGCUGUUACUCCAGCUCAAGAACCGAAUUUAUCCAGAUGAAUGCUCAGCAAUUAAGUCAGUCCAUGACUGUUCGGGCAUAGCAAGAGCCAGCUGAUCAUUAAGCUAAACAUUGGAUAAUUUCAACUGGAAUUUAAGUUAACAUUUGUGUUUAAUUAAUUGUUAUAAAUUGAGGCUAUUCGGCUGGACCUAUGUGAGCUUAUAAAUAGCUUAUUGUAAACCGUUUAGAAGGUUACUUAACUUUGAAAUUUUAUGAAUAUUAAGCCUUGAGUUAUUCAACUCUUGUAAGAGUUGUUCGUUUGAGACUCGAUUGACUUAUCUAGCUCCGUCUAGUGGCGUCAACCCGAUUCUUGUUUGAACUUAUCACUUCCAGCAAGUGUGGCGUUCAUCCUAUACCGUAGGUUCCUAUCUCUUUAGAUAGUGGGUCUCGGUUUACUAUCUUUUUAUCCAAUUUCAUUUCCAAGUGUUGAUAUAAAAAUUGGGUCGAUAUUCACCUUUAAUAUCGGUCCAUUCUUCAAACUUGUUUUACCCAAACUUAGCAGAAACUAUCACAUAUUAACCUUUACAAAUAUACCAACUUAAAAGCCUUCUUGUUUCAGCCUUCAAAUACGAUACUUCUCAAUUUACGAUCGGAAAACUUAGCAACACGUAAUCAACUCCAAGCACGGGUUCGCAUCAGUUGCCUAAUUUCUUUUCAUUGAUGCUUUGCUCUCAAUUCUUUUCACAUUUUUUUCAAAUCAUAUAUAUAGGUUAAAACUAUGUGGCAUAGCUUUUAAAUCACUAUUUAUUAUGAUAAUAAUAUUUCACAUGUUGAUUAUAUUUAAAAAAAUUAAUUCAAAGUAAAUUCCUUAUAAAUAUUGUCAUGUAAUUUUUGAUGCUCUAAAUGUUGAUAUGCAUGAAUAUAUUAAAUAUACACUAAAAAUAUAAUAUUAAAAUUAAUUAUAAGAAAUAUAAACUAUAAAGCAAAUUGAAGCAAAUAUUUAGUAAAAAUUUGAACUUAAAAUAUAUAUUUAAAACUUAAAACAUAUUAUUAAAGACGCAUUUUAAUAAAGAUUGAUUAAAUUAAAUAUAUUUCAAAUUCUUAAUUAAUUUAAACAAAACUCAAUUAUUAAAAACAAAUUAUUAUCUUUUUCAAACUCUAACAAAUUUAUGGGAAAAUUGAAUGUUCCAUAUUAUUAUCCUUAGAAUGGAAAUGCUGGGGUAUUAUGGGAAAAGAAAUAUUGACAAAUAUGCUCACAAGUCAACGACGAAAAUGAUUCUUCUCUUUUAAGGACAAAAGCAAGACCUAAGAAAGUAUACCACAAAGGGUGGCGUAAAGUGAAGCUAACUCAAGGGUUUUCUUGUAAUGGAUGCGAGUGAGUGUGAGAGUAGGACAGAAGGGGAGACCAUGGAACUUCAACAUUUCAGUCAUCCACAUCCUUUGGUCUCCUUUAAAUAUCAGACUGUUGCACGCGAAGAAGUAGACACAGAAGCAGCUCUUUGCCUUGGGUGUGAGAAACCUGUAGAGGGCUGGAGCUAUGGCUGCAAUCAAUGCGAGUUUUAUCUUCAUAAGGGAUGUGCUGAGUUAGAGUUAGCCCCCAAGAUUCAGCAUCCAUUCCACCCCAAACAUCCUCUCACUCUUCUGCCAAAAUCACCUUAUCCUGGGGGCAUAACCGUGUGCGAUUUGUGUGGUAAGAAUUUUGAGGGAUUUGUUUAUAAUUGUAACGAUUGUAUUUUCUAUCUGCACAUCAAUUGUGCUUUGCUUCAAUCAUCCAUUGCUGCAAAUUUUCCUAAUUCUUUGCACCACCAUCCUUUACACUUCAUUCAAAACCAUAACGAGGAAGUUGAGCGCGAUUGCUCCGGAUGUCAGAAACCAUUAUCUGGUCCGAUUUACCAUUGUUUAGAUUGUUCUUAUCCUACAUUCUUUACUCUUCAUAAGGAAUGCGUUGAACUACCCCUAGAAAUUAAUCACGCCUGUGACCGUAAGCAUCCCCUUACUCUUUUGCCCCAACGACCUGCACAUCCCGAGAAAUGUAGUUGCUAUUUGUGCAAAAUCCAAUGGAGCGGGUUUGUUUAUUCCUGCUCGCUUUGCAACUUUGAGCUUUCAGUUGAUGAUAUUUUUUCACCACCAACAAUCACCAAUGCAAGCCAUGAACACCCGUGGAUGCUUAUAUCCAAAAAAAUGUCAUUUAUUUGUGAUUUUUGUGGCAUUGUCGGAGAUCACUCUCCCUAUCUUUGUGCUACAUGCAACCUUGUUGUCCACAAGAAUUGCAUUUCAUUGCCACGCAACAUCAGGAUAACACGACAUUGUCACGUGAUUUGUUUUUCAUACUCUUUUCAACAAAAUCAAGUUGAAAAUUGUAUGUGCAGAAUUUGUUACACGGAAGUUGAUACAAGUUAUGGUAGGUAUUGUUGUUCUGCUUCCGGUUGUGAUUAUAUUGCUCAUGCACAUUGUGCAACCAAUAAAUCAAUUUGGGAUGGAACAAUUAUCAAGGAAGGCUAUGAUGAGAGGCAUGGACCUUCGAAUUUGAUCACCGAUGUUAUUGAACAAAUAAGUAUUGAAGAGAUUAUGGUAGCAAGUAAGAUCAAACAUUCCUACCAUCAUCAUAAUUUAAGACUCACUCUUAGUGGUGAAAUCAAAGAUGAUAGCCAGUGUGAUGGGUGCAUGAGGCCUAUAUCAAAUCCAUUUUAUAGUUGUGAGCAAUGCAAGUUCUUUCUCCAUAAAAAUUGCGCUGAAUUAUCUAAAGAAAUGCGACAUCCAUUUCACAAGCACUUACUUACACUCACAAACUCAAGCACGCUCGGUGACUUUUCAAGUUGUGAUGCCUGCAGUCAUUUGUACCAGGGAUUUAGCUAUCGGUGCUACAGAAGAGGUUGCAACCUCAACUUUGACAUUCGGUGUAUGUUAAUGUUGGACACCUUGAACCAUCCAAGUCAUGACCAUUCACUCUUACUUGAGCAUAACCAGCAAAGAAAUUGCAGUGCUUGUUCCGGAACAAUGGAACCAUGGAGAGUUGCAUAUAGAUGCAUGAAGCGUUGUGAUUACACUUUAGAUGUAGGUUGUGCAACACUACCACCCACUGCUUGGUACAAGUAUGACAAACAUCCUCUUACUCUGACUUAUUCUGAUGAUUCUGAACCUUCUCAACUUUACUGCGAUCUCUGUGAGAAAGAAAGGCAGCCGAAUAGUUGGUUUUACUAUUGUGUUGAUUGUGAUAACUCUCUUCAUCUCAAUUGUGCUCUUGGGGAUCUCCCAUAUAUGAAGCUUGGGAACAAAAUAAAAGGUACAGGUCAUCAACAUCGACUCACUGUUGUGAAAAACAUCUGGAAUUGUCCUCCAUGUGAGAAAUGUCGUGAGCUUUGCAACGGACGUGCCCUAGAAUGUAAAGAAUUUGGAUGCAACUUUACCAUACACUGGAAUUGUUGUUGGUAUUUGACCUUCUAGGACUCUGGUGAACCAUUUCAAUGAUACUCCACUCAAGUUUACCAGACAGAGAAGUCGCAACUUCACAUGUCUGUUCUGUCCAUCUGCAUGCAUGUACCUGAUUUGCCAACAAGGGCUCAUGUCCGUUUGUUUUUCUUAAUUGCUUUUUAUUAUGUUAUUGUUGUCUAAGAACUUAAACCUUGUUUAAAUCAAACAUGAUUUCAGGCUAGUCAUGAGACUUCUUUUAGGGUAAAUAUACAUUUUGAUGCCUGAAUUUGGCUCUAAGGUUCACAUUGGUACCUGAACUUGACGUCUCGGUUCAAAUUGGCUUUUAAGUCCAAAUUAGUACUAGAGUUAGAUGAGGUAUUUGAACCAAUUUUAACUAUGAAGUCAAGUUUGGUACUAAUUUGAACCAAUAUGACAAGUUCAAAUGCCUAAUUGAACAACAAAAAUUUAAGUACCAAAUUGAACCUUGAGGUUAAGUAUUUAUCAUUUUAAGUUUUUUAAUCAUUUGAAUAAAUGGAAAAAUAGCAAUUUUGGCCCUUUGUGAAAAUUAAUCAUAUAAUUUAAGCUCUUUUAGAGUGAAACUUUUAUCUUCGGUCUCAAAAUUUUAAAAUUUUGGCUUCGUCACUAUAAGAGACUAAAUCACAAGAAAAUGAGCAAAUCCUGAAGGGGCAGGUAGGGGACUGUUCAUAUAAAUGAUGAUAUUAUAAAUUAAUAUAUAGUAAAAUUUUAUUUUAGUCCUUUAAAAUAAAACAAUUCUAUUUAAUCCCUUUAAAUAUGAUAAAUUACAUUUUAACCUUUCAAAAAUUUACAUUUUAAUUUAUAAUUUUUCUAAUUUUUUCAUUUUGCCACAUGUCUAUUGGUGAUUGAGCCACAUCAUCAUUGACCAAGGUUAAUUAACGGCUGACUAACGAAGGACUAACGAGGUACAAAUGUAAGAAAAAAUAUAUAGUUUAGAUACUCAUAUUGAUCAAAAAAGUGUUUAGGUACUAAUUUAAGCAAAUAAGGAUAUUUUAAAGGACAAUUUUAAUAUUAAGCCUUCAGCCUAUAAAUAGAUUUAUUUAUAAUUAAUUUAAUUUAAUAUGAUCUGAUUCAAAUUAAUUGUUAAACACAUUUAAUGACUUAAAUUUUAGUCACAAAUGACAAACUUUUACAGCAUAGUUUUUUAGUUCAAAUUGGUACUUUCAAAUAACUAAGUAUUAAUUUAGAUAAUAAAAAAUCAAAUUCGGGUAUUAAUUUAAAUCAAGAAGCUAAGUUUAGGUACUUAAUUGGACCAAAAUACCAAAUGGAACUUUGAAGUCAUGUUCAAGUACCUAAUUGGAAAAAAGAAAAACCUUAGGUAUCAAUUUGAACUCUGAAGCUAAGUUUAAGUACCAAAAUGUAUAUUUCCCUUACUUUUCCAAUAACCAUUGAAUGCUCUCAUUUUUAUCUACCAGAUCGGAGCAAACACUAAUUAUUGACAGAAAAUAACAAUUCUAGUGAUUAUGUUUAAAGUAAAAUUUAAUUUUAUGUCACCGACAAUCACAAUCCUUUUUGCAUUAUUUCUCAAUUUUUAGUUCAUAAACGAUCAAGAAUACUUUUUUUUUACGGUGAUUAUGUUGAGAUUUCCUAUAAAAUUCUCUUUUUAUUUGCAAGGAAUCUACAACUCUACUGUGAAUCAGGGAAGCAUGCAGGCGUGGGAAGCUAUCAGCUCUGAUAAACUUAAAUCCCACCGCCCCUUCCAUAAGCGCCAACAUAUGAAUAACUAUUCCUUAAACGAGGUCAGCCAUGCCAAUUCCAUUAAAAAGAGGCCUAAGCUAAGCUACCAAGCAAAGAGGAAGAAGAAGAGAUGGUUUCAGGGUGAGGCAUGUGCUCUAAAAGGGUAGCGGUGGAUGCAAGGCAUCACAUGCUGGGAAGGUUGGCUUCCAUAUUAGCCAAGGAGUUGUUGAAUGGCCAAAAAAUAGUGGUGGUGAGAUCUGAAGAGAUAUGCAUGUGGGGUGGAUUGGUUAGCCAGAAGAUGAAUCUCAUGAGGUUUCUUAGGAAGCGUAUAAACACUAAGCCUUCUCAUGGUCUCAUCCAGUUUCCUGCUCCUCUAACAUCCUUUGGCGUACCAUUCGUGGGUGUGUUUUUCUUUUCGAGAGUCUUUUUCCCUUUUAGUGUGUUUUCAUAGUUCUUUAUUUGGUCUGUGAAUGAAAAGGAUGGAAAUUUCUGGGUUUUUUAUGCUUGGUAAUUUAGGAAGCCUUUAUUAUAAACUUUUUGAGAGAUUUUUUUCUAUUUAUUUGAAGUUCUAUGAUUUGGAUAUUGGAAUAUAUAUUGCAAAAGAACCAAUGGAAUCUGUGUGUUUAGCUAUGUUUGAUAUCAAAAUUAAUAAUGAGAGUUUGCUAUUGAUUUUUCUUGUUAGAGAUCUGUGUGUUUGUUAUAGUUGGUUAUUGGUAAAAUGUAGGGACGAAGUGAAAGAGAGUAGAAUGAGUGUGCUUGAGGUUAUUAUUGUUGGAUUGGGAGAAAACUAAUAGCUGACAAGGUCUAUGAAUCUUAUAGUGCAAAGGCAAUGCGUUUGGCUUCAGCAUAUAUGAAGUGAAGUAUAUAACUGGGCUUCAUUUUGACUUUCCUUAUGGUAAUUGAUAUUUGCUUUGAUUGCAGGAUGAUUCCUCGCAAAGACUAAGCAUGGAGUGGCAGCUUUCGCUGGUGUGAAUUGAAGGCUUAUGAGGGGAUUCUUGCACCAUAUGAUAAGACUAAGAGAAUGGUUAUUCCUGAUGCUCUCAAGUUUUGCAGUAGUUGGUUUCUUUCGCGGAAUUUAGAAUUUGGUUUUCUUACUUGCUUCUGUGGAUAGUUAGUCAUGCUCAAUGUUUUUUAAAUUGGUGGAGAAAAUAGCAUUACCCUGGAGUAAAUAUGAAAUAUAACAUUGAACGCUUUUAUGUAGGUUAUCCAACAUUGAAUGCUUAUGACUUGGUUUGGAGCUUCAAGAACUACUGAUGAAGAAGUUUAUGAAGACAUCAAAAGAGUCAUUUCAUUGGUUUGGCAGUUCUAGGACUUGGUUGUCCUUUACUCAGAGCCAGAGCAGGUAGGUUCUGUUUUUACUCGGCUUUUUGUGAUUGAUGUUUGUUGCACCUUUUCCCCCCUCUUUUUGUAACUGUAUUGUAGCUUUGGGUCAGUGGUUGGGCUAUGAAUUUAUGAAUAUCAAACUGUUGUGUCUGGUCAACAUUGCAGACUCCUCGAAUUGUCUCCUUACUGUCUGAGUCUUACAACCUACCAAGACAACACCGAACCAAACCUUCCGCAUACAGAAGAAAAACAUUCCUUGCAAUAAAAUUAAAACUGAUACAAAAACCACAACAUCCCAAAACACCUCAAAAAGAUAACCACAAUGACACUUGCGUACAGCACAGCUCAUGACACAAAUCGAAAAAGAGAUCAACUUCAAGACAUCAUCUCAUGUUAUCAGUUUGUGAGCAUCCCUUAGAAACUAAAUAAACACCAUAAAAGAAGCAUCCAACAAAUUGGCAGCAAUGCAGUAACAAAC
rnacentral:lncRNA from 1 species